rnacentral:lncRNA from 1 species
GGAUUUCGAAGACUUGGAGACCAUCGUCGCCGGGUUUGGUGGCCGUGGAAAGGCAGGUAGCAUACACCUAGCUCGUAAAUUACUUCUUUCAUCCCAAAUUGCAUGUCAUUUAUUUUAGGUGUUCAAUAAGAUAAUAGAUGGAUUAGCUUAGUGGAUCCAGAUAGAUCCUUAGAAGAGUGAAAAAAACAAUCAUGUCUAAUGGCUGCCUUAUGGGCUUUGGAACAUUGACAAGACUUUGCUCCAUCAUGACUAGUUAGAUCAUCAUUAUUGGGGGUUAGGUGGAGGUGGAGGGGCAUCCAUCGUAUCUCUCAUCUAUGUCAUUAGUAAAGGUUAUUAUAUAGUAAAUUAAUAGAUUGCACAAUCAGAACUAAUUUAACAAAUAAAUUAUAAUUUAUUGUUAAGAAAUUUGUAUACGUACUCUGAAUUGGUAGUCAGUUAUACGCUUGGGACCUACGAAACCAUGGAUGAACUCACAUACGUAGUAUCCGCAUAAAUUAUUCCCCGGAUUCCAUCUCAAAUACUAUAUAUAUGGUAAAAGAAGUUAUAAAAUAUUUGUUAUGUUCAAGGAAGUGUCACGAGAUGUAGAAAUUCAAUACACACCGGGAAUUCAGACUUGAAAUCAAGUUCCUCCUUUAAUUCAGUUGCAUGAUGUUGACGAAGCAUUGCUCUCUCCCACUUGCUCAUUUUUGGCUUAUGAUGAGGGCCAACUAUGGUUUUCCCCUUGUUGCAAGAGGAACGACGAUCGCCCCCACCAUCACCACUACCUCCAGCAGCAGUAGCCAUCUCUAUGUACUACAAUUUAUUUAGCAUUGCAAAUGACUAAACUAUGAACAAAUUAUAUUUUUUCCCACAAUUUAUUUAGCUCAAACAUAAUAUAUAAAUGAAAAGUUUCUCCAUUGUAGCUUAUUCUAAAAAUGACUCAUUACACACCUCUAUUUCAUCUUGUUAUCUAUAUGUAGCACAAUUUAUCUCGCUCGUAUUUGCGAAUGACUAAAAUAUAAACAAAUUAUAUUUUUCCCCAUAAGUUAUUUAGCUCGUAUUUGUAAAGGACUAAACUAUGAAAUUAUUCCUCUAAUCUCAUAUCAAUUUCUUUUGACUAAUACGAAAUAUAGGAUCCAAAAAAUUGUAGCUUAUUCUAACAAUCACAAAUAUGAGAUCUAAGUAACACAUGCAUAUAAAUGAAAAUUUUCUCCAUUGUACCAUAUUCUAAAAAUCAUAAAUUACUCUAGCUCUAAAGUAUAAAACUUAGUAUACUAACCAUGUAUUAAGGGAGGAUGAAGUUUCUAACCUUUAGAACACUUGAAUGAGUGAAAUCCCCACGAAAUGGUCAAAAAUCCGGCAGCACCUUUCCUAUUUCGCCACGAAUGGAUGAAGCCUGAGCUAGAGGAAAUGGCUCGGGCAGGAGGAAGAAGAUGCCUGAUUUAAUAGGAGGGAAGUUAGUACAGGUUGGGAGCUCCAACGGGUACUAAAGGUCACCUAUUAGUACCGGGUGGCACCCAGUACUAAUGGGUGACCUUUAAUUUCGGUUGAAGCUCCCAACCGGUAUUAAAAGGGAUCAUGGGAGACUUCUAAGGAACUAGCUGUCAGACCCGAUACUAAUGCUCAUAUUAGUACCGCAUCAAAAACUGGUUAGCUAGGACUGAUGCGGUCACGUACACCACUCACCUCUAUCCUGUGCCACCUGAUACUAAUAGGUAACCUUUAGUAUCCUUUGAAGCUCCCAACCGGUACUCAAGGAGAUCACGGGACGCUCCUAGGAAACGAUACUAAUGCUCGUCAAAAACCAACCGGUUAGCUGGGACCGAUGCGGUCACGUACGCCACCCGCCUCUGUCCUGUAGCUCUCGCUACGGUCCAGUUCUGCAGUCGAUGGGCAGCACGGUGAUCCAUGUGCAUUUUGUCUCGCUCCUCCACCUCUGCAGACUGCAGUGGUACUUGGUACGUACGUUGCACCAGCAGUGACCAGUUGGUAGAUCAAUAAUCAAUCAGUCAAUCAUUGGAUCCGAUUCCACGGCCGUCAGCCGAAGCUAGGAACUGUAGGAGCCGGCCGGCCGGCCUGCCGCCGGCGGCCACAAGCUAGGUGUCGUAGGCGAGCAACUAUGCACGCAUGCGUGGAAGAUUGAAGGAGUUAAGGAAGCGGCCGGCCGGCCGGUCGGUCUUGCCGCCGGCCGCUUUUCCAUCACCACUCCAUAGCCGCCGCGCGCACACCGGCCGACGCAACAAACUUUCGAGGCCUGCCUUUUCUCGCGCCGUCACACCAAGACACACCGGCACGGUCCAAAAUGCCCGUAGAUUCUGUGGCACACGUAAUGCACGCGUGGAAACACUGUGCUAUAUACGACGCUUUAAUUUGCUGCUUUUUUUUGAUAAAAAACAUUUUACUGCUUGGAUUUAGGCUAAGUUUGGAACGCUAGCUUAUGGAACAGGUGUUGGCGUGCUUAGCGCAGUGACGUCAGUGAGGCGGUGACUAAACCACUGAAGUGGCAGCUGCUUUUGUUUUGACGACCGAGUGAAGAUCUCUGCACGGCUGCGCUCUGCUAGGCUCCGGCGACGGCAUCUCAUGGAAACCGCGCGUGAAUGAUUGGUUGACGCGAAA